rnacentral:lncRNA from 1 species
GAAUAUGAGCAGGCAUACAUGGAGGCAGAACGCAGGCACGCCACGGGCCUGAAGCAGGGCUGCCACACGCCACCAUUCGACAACUCAAGGGCACCAUUCAUUCAUGCAGGCUGUCCUGACAAAAUGCCAAGUUAGCAAAAUAAGAUCACACAGUCACUCUUCAUCACAGCUGGAGAAUCUGAAUUUACGAGUAUCUUGCAUCAAAACGCUGCCUCAGAGAGAACAGAAAGUGAAAAUACAGAUUCCUGAAAUCAUACAAUAAGAGUAAAUGGGGCAUAGGAUUGGACAGUUAAGAAGAUGGGUGCACCAAGCAAGUGGUAUGCAGUAAUUAAGGUAAAUACUGGGUUUUGAGAACAAUCACCAAAAAUCCAAUCUCUCAUGCCCAUAUCCCUCCAUUUCCACUUGCAGGGAUGAAACACAAAUGUUUCCUGUACAAACUUUCAGCAAGUUAACGGUCACCUUCAUCAUUUUUCUAAGCUUUUUAGUCUAAUUACCAAAAUAGAGAAGAAGGCUGGGAUUCAGGGUGGAGGCCUUGCUGGAAAUAAAGAAAUGUGCAUCUGGCCAAGCUAUGCCUGGUCCUCUCUCUCAGGAAAGUAAGUCAGGGAAGGGGAGCAGGAAGGUGACGAUGGGCACCGCCAACAUCCCGACCUUCCACAUCACUGGCAGGGAGGGGGUGAAGCAUGGGGCAUGGACAGACCACCCAAGUGGCAGACAGGAGCCUUGGGCUCUAAUACUGGCCACAUUGCCUUCUGAUGGCGUAGAUGAACCAUGUAACCUUGACUUAAAUUUUCAACUUGUGAUAUAUGGAGAG